rnacentral:rRNA from 1 species
GACGAACGCUGGCGGCGUGCCUAAUACAUGCAAGUCGAGCGGAAGUUGGAGAGCUUGCUCUUCAACUUCAGCGGCGGACGGGUGAGUAACACGUGGGCAACCUGCCCUGCAGAUCGGGAUAACUCCGGGAAACCGGUGCUAAUACCGAAUAGUUUUCGCCACCUCCUGGUGGCGUACGGAAAGACGGUUUCGGCUGUCACUGCAGGAUGGGCCCGGGGCGCAGUAGCUAGUUGGUGGGGUAACGGCCCACCAAGGCGACGAUGCGUAGCCGACCUGAGAGGGUGAUCGGCCACACUGGGACUGAGACACGGCCCAGACUCCUACGGGAGGCAGCAGUAGGGAAUCUUCCGCAAUGGACGAAAGUCUGACGGAGCAACGCCGCGUGAGCGACGAAGGUUUUCGGAUCGUAAAACUCUGUUGUGAGGGAAGAACAAGUACCAACUAACUACUGGUACCUUGACGGUACCUCACCAGAAAGCCACGGCUAACUACGUGCCAGCCGCCGCCGUAA